rnacentral:rRNA from 1 species
AAAACGCCGGGCAGGCGGCCGGGGACAUACGGGGGAUCCAAGAGGUAUCCGGAAUUACGGGGGGUAAAGAGUUGCGUAGGGGGCAGAGUAAGUGGAGAGUGAAAGCGUCCGGCUCAACCGGAUACACAUUAUCAAAACUGCUCAGCUAGAGGACGAGAGAGGUAAUUGGAAUUCCUAGUGUAGGAGUGAAAUCCGUAGAUAUUAGGAGGAACACCGAUGGCGUAGGCAGAUUACUGGCUCGUUCCUGACACUAAGGCACGAAAGCAUGGGUAGCAAACGGGAUUAGAUACCCUAGUAGUC